CUUGCUCUCAAGAACCUUAGAGUCUAAUGCUGGAAGCAACAUGAAAACAGCUAUGUACAAAAAAGAGAGAGAGCAAAAUUUGGAGCUAAUCAGUUGAGAAAAAGGAACUAGAAUUAAGGGAGACUGGGGAAAGUUUCUUAAUGAAGCUUGGAUUUUAGUGGGGUCUUGAAGAAAGCCAGGGAAGACAGAAGGAGAUGAGGAGGGAGAGCAUUCCUGGCAUGGGUGACAGCCAAAGAAAAGGUCCAGGGCUAAAAGGUGGAGUAUUUUGUAAGAGGAACAUCCAGGAGGCAGGUGUCCCUGGACUGAUGAGGUUGAAUAAAGUGUAAGGUAUAAGAAGACUAGCCUGAUGGUAUGGAAGGAGAUGGAAGUCAAAUUUGUACAUCAGAAGAUGGAAGUCCCCCUUUUGACUGAUUUUCCUCUUCUUCCCUCAAGGGACAGAUGCAGCAGUAGAUGGAAGGCUUAAGGUCAAAAAGAAGGUUGCCUCUCUUUGCACUGGAGUCUUUCCACAUCCCUGGUUGGAGAUCAGGAGGCACCUGGUGAAGAUAAAAGUCCAGCAGUCACACUUAGGGGAUACAUACAGUGGGAAAUGGAAAAAGGGAAGAAAAAUCCAUCUCUCUCCUUCCUACCUCCUCCCCAAUCUGUACCUUGAGUCCAUUCCUUUUCUGUCAGGAAGUGGGCAGCAGGCUAAAUCCCCAGUCUUCUGGAAUCAUGGCUCUGUAGGUGAUGCUCUUUGCAUAAGAAGCAUGAAACACCACCAUCUCAGAAGAAUCAUAAAUGCAAGUGAUCCAAAGGCUGAAGGAGAGAUGCAUGGUGCAGCAGAUGGCAGCAUUUUGAUGAUCCUCUACUUAGAAAGCUCCCAGAAUGCUGGAUUUGGUGUUGGAGGACCUGGAUUAAAAUACAGGUUCAAUGGUGUGAUGUCAGACCAAUCCAGGAAACAUUCCUCCCUGAAGUAG
rnacentral:lncRNA from 1 species